UUGUGAAUGAAGGUAGUCACAGUGCCUUGUGACAUGUUCAUAAAAGAGCCCUCCGAGAUUCCCACUGCCCAGGAAUGCUGGGUGGCUUAAUUCAUCGCAUAGCAUCUAGAACGAUCUUUGAGUACUGGGUGUGCACUGUAAACAUCAGAAGGAGUGUGCAAGUAGCGCAGAACUGAGCUGGUGUCCGCCUGAAGGGAACUGAACCCAGAGCUUCAGGCAUACCAGACAAGUCACUCUUGCACCGUCCUGACUCCCUCACUUUCGUCUACCAUCAUGUUUGGUAUUCUUCUUGCUUUAAGCUAAGCCACAGGUUAAUCUCCUGAGAGACGUCAGCUGAGACAUGAAUAUUAUGAAUGACAAGAAAUACAUCUAUGGGGCUGGAGAGAUAGCUCAGUGGUUAAGAGCACUGCCUGUUCUUCCAAAGGUCCUGAGUUCAAAUUCCAGCAACCACAUGGUGGCU